AUUGAACGCUGGCGGCAGGCCUAACACAUGCAAGUCGAGCGGUAGCACAGAGAGCUUGCUCUCGGGUGACGAGCGGCGGACGGGUGAGUAAUGUCUGGGAAACUGCCUGAUGGAGGGGGAUAACUACUGGAAACGGUAGCUAAUACCGCAUAAUGUCGCAAGACCAAAGUGGGGGACCUUCGGGCCUCAUGCCAUCAGAUGUGCCCAGAUGGGAUUAGCUAGUAGGUGGGGUAACGGCUCACCUAGGCGACGAUCCCUAGCUGGUCUGAGCGGAUGACCAGCCACACUGGAACUGAGACACGGUCCAGACUCCGACGGGAGGCAGCAGUGGGGAAUAUUGCACAAUGGGCGCAAGCCUGAUGCAGCCAUGCCGCGUGUGUGAAGAAGGCCUUCGGGUUGUAAAGCACUUUCAGCGGGGAGGAAGGCGAUAAGGUUAAUAACCUCAUCGAUUGACGUUACCCGCAGAAGAAGCACCGGCUAACUCCGUGCCAGCAGCCGCGGUAAAAC
rnacentral:rRNA from 1 species